rnacentral:rRNA from 1 species
UAAGCGGAGGAAAAGAAACUAACAAGGAUUCCCCUAGUAACUGCGAGUGAAGCGGGAAAAGCUCAAAUUUAAAAUCUGGCGGUCUUUGGCCGUCCGAGUUGUAAUUUAGAGAAGCGUCUUCCGCGCCGGACCGUGCACAAGUCUCCUGGAAUGGAGCGUCAUAGAGGGUGAGAAUCCCGUCUUUGGCACGGAUGCCCNGUGCUUCUGUGAUGCGCUCUCGAAGAGUCGAGUUGUUUGGGAAUGCAGCUCAAAAUGGGUGGUGAACUCCAUCUAAAGCUAAAUAUUGGCGAGAGACCGAUAGCGAACAAGUACCGUGAGGGAAAGAUGAAAAGCACUUUGGAAAGAGAGUGAAACAGUACGUGAAAUUGUUGAAAGGGAAACGCUUGAAGUCAGUCGCGUCGACCGAGACUCAGCCUUGCCUCGGCUUGGUGUACUUCUCGGCCCGACGGGUCAGCGUCAAUUUUGCCCCUCGGAUAAUGGCAAGGGAAAGGUGGCACCUUUACGGGUGUGUUAUAGUCUCCUGUCGCAUGCGAGGGGUGGGAUUGAGGAACUCAGCGCGCACCUUGGUGUCGGGGCUUCGGCCCACGUCACGCGCUUAGGAUGCUGGCGUAAUGGCUUUAAACGACC